GUAGAAUUUGUACCUGCUCUACUUUGUACAUCUAGUAGAGUUCCACUAUGAAUCCAUCUGGUCGGGGGCAUUUUUUGAUGAGUCAGAAAGUUGCUGGAUAAAUAAGUAACUGAAUGAAUUUUGGGCCUGGAAGCGAAUAACCAACUCUGGCUUCAUGAGCACAAUUCAUAUGUGAAGACCAGGAAGAGAUGACCUCAGAAUUUCAUGAGUGGCAUCCUCAAACUGACCAGGAAAAUCCCAAGCAGCUAAUGUUCUGCUGCUUCUCCUUCUGCUGCACCUGUCUACUGCAAUGCCUACUGUUUUGGUGGCAUCUAGGGGAUAUCAAACCCUAUCUGAUAAGGAUUUUAGGGAAGUCCAGGGAGUUGAAGUCUGGAGGAUGCAUUGAAGAAGUUUGGAGAAUAGAUGUGGCUUAGACCAUCAAGAACUGUGGACUGUGAGUUAACCAUCAGCCACUGCCCAACUUUUAUAACACUUGCCUUAACAUGACAGUCUCGUUCUUGUUGCAAAGGGUAGGCUCCAUCGCCAUCAUCACCCCCAAAACACACACUUAGACUCCAGUUCUAGAUUUUAAGAAAAAUAAGAAUUACAAGGACAGCCAUCUAUUUGUGAAAAAUGUUGACAAAUUUUUCUCCAGGGAGGUCAAACAAUUUACAUUCAUAUUAGCAAUAUACGAGAAUGUCUGUUUCUCUGGAUCCCCACCAACAUAUAUCCAGCUUUUUAUUCAUGUUAAUCUGGGAGUCAAAUAAAAUGUAUCUUACUAUAUUUUAGGUUGCAUUUAACUUAUAUUUCAGUGAAAAUACCAAGAGACAAUAUAGAGAAGUGGUGGUGUCUAUGGUCAAGCUGCCUGAGUUUGAAGCCUCAUCACACCACCAGCUGAAUGUAUUUGAGAAAACUUAACCUCUCCAUGCUUCAGUUUCCUCACCUAUAAAAUGGAGAUAAGAAGAGGGCCUACUUCAACAAAAGGUUGUUGUGGGAAUGUAAAGCACCAACCCAGGCACAUAUGACGUGCUUAAUA
rnacentral:lncRNA from 10 species